AAACGGUCGCUAAUACCCAAUGUGCCGAGAGAGUGAAACUUAUAUGGCCUGAAGAUGAGCUCGCGUCUGAUUAGCUAGUUGGAGUGGUAACGGCACCCCCAGGCGACGAUCAGUAGCUGGUCUGAGAGAGAUGAUCAGCCACACUGGGACUGAGACCCCGCCCAGACUUCUACCGGAGGCAGCAGUUGGGAAUUUUUCGCAAUGGGCGAAAGCCCGACGGAGCAAGUCCGCCUGAGGGAGGAAGGCCUCCUGGUUGUAAACCUCUUUUUAUCGGGAAGAAAGCAAUGACGGUACCUAUCGAAUCAGCCUCGGCUAAUUCCUUGCCAGCAGCCGCGGUAAUACGGAGGAGGCAAGCGUUAUCCGGAAUUAUUGGGCGUAAAGCGUCCGUAGGUGGCGAACCAAGUCAGUUGUUAAAGCGUGGAGCUUAACUCCAUAUCAGCAAUUGAAACUGGUAGGCUAGAGUGCGAUAGGGGCAAGGGGAAUUCCCAGGGUAGCGGGAAAAGGGUUAGAUAUUGGGAAGAACAUCGGUGGCGAAAGCGCCUUGCUGGGUCGGCACUGACCCUGACGGGACGAGAGCACGG
rnacentral:rRNA from 1 species